CUCUUAUCCUUGCCAAGGCGAAAGGAUUUGAUGUCUUUAAUGCACUGGACCUAAUGGAGAACAAGACAUUUUUGGAGAAGCUCAAGUUUGGCAUUGGAGAUGGAAACCUGCAGUAUUACCUCUACAAUUGGAAAUGUCCCAGCAUGGGUUCAGAAAAGGUGGGUUUGGUUCUACAGUGACCUAUUCCACCAUCCAUAAUCUAUGUCUCGCAUGACAGCGAGGCUGAUUUAUGACAUCACGCACUGACCACCUGACAGAUGCUACCAAUGGACUUCCUGCUUCAGGAAGGAGAAUUCACCGCCCAUUUUUAAGUUUCAACUUUGACCUUUUGGACCUGCACUACUUAUUUCUCUCUCUCUCUCUUUCUCUCUCGCUUUCUUUCUAUUUCCCACACUUCUUAUUCUCUCUCUGCGCAUGGACCUAAAGCCAUUGUAAUUACCAUCAUCAGAGAUGAGGAACCUUAAUCUGUUAUGAUUGUUAACAACAGUACACACACACACAAAAAAACUUGACAAGCUCAUGAUGAACCCUGAUGCAUAAGUGUUGCGCUAUUCGCAUCGGUAGAUUCAACUAAUUCGGUAUAACAUGAUUUUACUCUCCCUAUCCAAUGAGAGGUGCUUUUUGCAAAAUGGAUGAAAAUGUUUAUUUCUUCAGUGUUUUAGAAAAGACCAGACAACAAUCAAAGACGCAUGAAAAUUCCUAGAGAAAAAAAAAACGGCUAAUGAGAUAAUAAAAAUCCCAAGUGGACAUGACAAGGGCUGCUGUCAA